UGGCGAACGGGUGAGUAACGCGUGAGGAACCUGCCUCAAAGAGGGGGACAACAGUUGGAAACGACUGCUAAUACCGCAUAAGCCCACGGGUCGGCAUCGACCUGAGGGAAAAGGAGCAAUCCGUUUUGAGAUGGCCUCGCGUCCGAUUAGCUAGUUGGUGAGGUAACGGCCCACCAAGGCGACGAUCGGUAGCCGGACUGAGAGGUUGAACGGCCACAUUGGGACUGAGACACGGCCCAG
rnacentral:rRNA from 1 species